ACGGAAGGCAGCAGUGGGGAAUAUUGCACAAUGGGGGAAACCCUGAUGCAGCGACGCCGCGUGAGUGAAGAAGUAUUUCGGUAUGUAAAGCUCUAUCAGCAGGAAAGAAAAUGACGGUACCUGACUAAGAAGCCCCGGCUAACUACGUGCCAGCAGCCGCGGUAAUACGUAGGGGGCAGGCGUUAUCCGGAUUUACUGGGUGUAAAGGGAGCGUAGACGGCUUUGCAAGUCUGAAGUGAAAGCCCGGGGCUCAACCCCGGAACUGCUUUGGAAACUGUAGAGCUAGAGUGCAGGAGAGGUAAGUGGAAUUCCUAGUGUAGCGGUGAAAUGCGUAGAUAUUAGGAGGAACACCAGUGGCGAAGGCGGCUUACUGGACUGUAACUGACGUUGAGGCUCGAAGGCGUGGGGAGCAAACAGGAUUAGAUACCCUGGUA
rnacentral:rRNA from 1 species